UGAAGAGUUUGAUCAUGGCUCAGAUUGAACGCUGGCGGCAGGCCUAACACAUGCAAGUCGAACGGUAACAGGAAGCAGCUUGCUGCUUCGCUGACGAGUGGCGGACGGGUGAGUAAUGUCUGGGAAACUGCCUGAUGGAGGGGGAUAACUACUGGAAACGGUGGCUAAUACCGCAUAACGUCGCAAGACCAAAGAGGGGGACCUUCGGGCCUCUUGCCAUCAGAUGUGCCCAGAUGGGAUUAGCUUGUUGGUGAGGUAACGGCUCACCAAGGCGACGAUCCCUAGCUGGUCUGAGAGGAUGACCAGCCACACUGGAACUGAGACACGGUCCAGACUCCUACGGGAGGCAGCAGUGGGGAAUAUUGCACAAUGGGCGCAAGCCUGAUGCAGCCAUGCCGCGUGUAUGAAGAAGGCCUUCGGGUUGUAAAGUACUUUCAGCGGGGAGGAAGGUGUUGUGGUUAAUAACCGCAGCAAUUGACGUUACCCGCAGAAGAAGCACCGGCUAACUCCGUGCCAGCAGCCGCGGUAAUACGGAGGGUGCAAGCGUUAAUCGGAAUUACUGGGCGUAAAGCGCACGCAGGCGGUCUGUCAAGUCGGAUGUGAAAUCCCCGGGCUCAACCUGGGAACUGCAUUCGAAACUGGCAGGCUUGAGUCUUGUAGAGGGGGGUAGAAUUCCAGGUGUAGCGGUGAAAUGCGUAGAGAUCUGGAGGAAUACCGGUGGCGAAGGCGGCCCCCUGGACAAAGACUGACGCUCAGGUGCGAAAGCGUGGGGAGCAAACAGGAUUAGAUACCCUGGUAGUCCACGCCGUAAACGAUGUCUACUUGGAGGUUGUGCCCUUGAGGCGUGGCUUCCGGAGCUAACGCGUUAAGUAGACCGCCUGGGGAGUACGGCCGCAAGGUUAAAACUCAAAUGAAUUGACGGGGGCCCGCACAAGCGGUGGAGCAUGUGGUUUAAUUCGAUGCAACGCGAAGAACCUUACCUGGUCUUGACAUCCACAGAACUUUCCAGAGAUGGAUUGGUGCCUUCGGGAACUGUGAGACAGGUGCUGCAUGGCUGUCGUCAGCUCGUGUUGUGAAAUGUUGGGUUAAGUCCCGCAACGAGCGCAACCCUUAUCCUUUGUUGCCAGCGAUUAGGUCGGGAACUCAAAGGAGACUGCCAGUGAUAAACUGGAGGAAGGUGGGGAUGACGUCAAGUCAUCAUGGCCCUUACGACCAGGGCUACACACGUGCUACAAUGGCGCAUACAAAGAGAAGCGACCUCGCGAGAGCAAGCGGACCUCAUAAAGUGCGUCGUAGUCCGGAUUGGAGUCUGCAACUCGACUCCAUGAAGUCGGAAUCGCUAGUAAUCGUGGAUCAGAAUGCCACGGUGAAUACGUUCCCGGGCCUUGUACACACCGCCCGUCACACCAUGGGAGUGGGUUGCAAAAGAAGUAGGUAGCUUAACCUUCGGGAGGGCGCUUACCACUUUGUGAUUCAUGACUGGGGUGAAGUCGUAACAAGGUAACCGUAGGGGAACCUGCGGUUGGAUCACCUCCUUACCUUAAAGAAGC
rnacentral:rRNA from 3 species